AGAGUUCGAUCCUGGCUCAGGAUGAACGCUGGCGGCGUGCCUAACACAUGCAAGUCGAACGGGAUGCGUAUCGGAAAGCUUCGGCCGGAAGAUACGUUAUCUAGUGGCGGACGGGUGAGUAACACGUGGGUAACCUGCCUUAUGGAGGGGGAUAACAGAGAGAAAUCACUGCUAAUACCGCAUAAGCACACAGUACCGCAUGGUACAGGGUGAAAAGAUUUAUCGCCAUAAGAUGGACCCGCGUCUGAUUAGCCAGUUGGCAGGGUAAAAGCCUACCAAAGCAACGAUCAGUAGCCGAUCUGAGAGGAUGACCGGCCACAUUGGGACUGAGACACGGCCCAAACUCCUACGGGAGGCAGCAGUGGGGAAUAUUGCACAAUGGGGGAAACCCUGAUGCAGCGACGCCGCGUGAGUGAAGAAGUAUUUCGGUAUGUAAAGCUCUAUCAGCAGGGAAGAAAAUGACGGUACCUGACUAAGAAGCCCCGGCUAACUACGUGCCAGCAGCCGCGGUAAUACGUAGGGGGCAAGCGUUAUCCGGAUUUACUGGGUGUAAAGGGAGCGUAGACGGAAUGGCAAGUCUGAAGUGAAAUACCCGGGCUCAACCUGGGAACUGCUUUGGAAACUGUUGUUCUAGAGUGUUGGAGAGGUAAGUGGAAUUCCUGGUGUAGCGGUGAAAUGCGUAGAUAUCAGGAAGAACACCGGAGGCGAAGGCGGCUUACUGGACAAUAACUGACGUUGAGGCUCGAAAGCGUGGGGAUCAAACAGGAUUAGAUACCCUGGUAGUCCACGCUGUAAACGAUGAAUACUAGGUGUCGGGGUGCAAAGCAUCUCGGUGCCGUCGCUAACGCAAUAAGUAUUCCACCUGGGGAGUACGUUCGCAAGAAUGAAACUCAAAGGAAUUGACGGGGACCCGCACAAGCGGUGGAGCAUGUGGUUUAAUUCGA
rnacentral:rRNA from 1 species